rnacentral:snoRNA from 1 species
UUUGUCAGUGAUGAUGUUUUCACAAAGUUUUGAUUUUGAUGAAAUAAACUAACAUGCACUACCAUCUGAGACAGG